rnacentral:rRNA from 1 species
AGAGUUUGAUCCUGGCUCAGGACGAACGCUGGCGGCGUGCUUAACACAUGCAAGUCGAACGGUAAGGCCCUUCGGGGUACACGAGUGGCGAACGGGUGAGUAACACGUGGGUAAUCUGCCCUGCACAUCGGGAUAAGCCUGGGAAACUGGGUCUAAUACCGAAUAGGACCACAGAACACAUGUCCUGUGGUGGAAAGCUUUUGCGGUGUGGGAUGGGCCCGCGGCCUAUCAGCUUGUUGGUGGGGUGAUGGCCCACCAAGGCGACGACGGGUAGCCGGCCUGAGAGGGUGUCCGGCCACACUGGGACUGAGAUACGGCCCAGACUCCUACGGGAGGCAGCAGUGGGGAAUAUUGCACAAUGGGCGAAAGCCUGAUGCAGCGACGCCGCGUGGGGGAUGACGGCCUUCGGGUUGUAAACCUCUUUCACCAUCGACGAAGGUUCGGGUUUUCUCGGAUUGACGGUAGGUGGAGAAGAAGCACCGGCCAACUACGUGCCAGCAGCCGCGGUAAUACGUAGGGUGCGAGCGUUGUCCGGAAUUACUGGGCGUAAAGAGCUCGUAGGUGGUUUGUCGCGUUGUUCGUGAAAUCUCACGGCUUAACUGUGAGCGUGCGGGCGAUACGGGCAGACUUGAGUACUGCAGGGGAGACUGGAAUUCCUGGUGUAGCGGUGGAAUGCGCAGAUAUCAGGAGGAACACCGGUGGCGAAGGCGGGUCUCUGGGCAGUAACUGACGCUGAGGAGCGAAAGCGUGGGGAGCGAACAGGAUUAGAUACCCUGGUAGUCCACGCCGUAAACGGUGGGUACUAGGUGUGGGUUUCCUUCCUUGGGAUCCGUGCCGUAGCUAACGCAUUAAGUACCCCGCCUGGGGAGUACGGCCGCAAGGCUAAAACUCAAAGGAAUUGACGGG